rnacentral:rRNA from 1 species
GAUGAACGCUGGCGGCGUGCCUAAUACAUGCGAGUCGAGCGAACAGAUGAGGAGCUUGCUCCUCUGACGUUAGCGGCGGACGGGUGAGUAACACGUGGAUAACCUACCUAUAAGACUGGGAUAACUUCGGGAAACCGGAGCUAAUACCGGAUAAUAUAUUGAACCGCAUGGUUCAAUAGUGAAAGACGGUUUUGCUGUCACUUAUAGAUGGAUCCGCGCCGCAUUAGCUAGUUGGUAAGGUAACGGCUUACCAAGGCAACGAUGGGUAGCCGACCUGAGAGCGCGGUCGGCCAAACGGUAACUUGGACACGGUCCAGACUCCUGCGGGAGGCCGCAGUAGGGAAUCUUCCGCAAUGGGCGACAGCCUGACGGAGCAACGCCGCGUGAGUGAUGAAGGUCUUCGGAUCGUAAAACUCUGUUAUUAGGGAAGAACAAAUGUGUAAGUAACUAUGCACGUCUUGACGGUACCUAAUCAGAAAGCCACGGCUAACUACGUG